CCUGGACACCAUCCUCAGGGGCUGCCUAACAGAGACCCCCACCGUGGAGAAGCUGCAGCACCUCCUGGAGCACAUCCAUCGCUCUCUCCUGUCAAAAAACACCCAGGAGAGAGCCAGGGCCGUCCAGACCAGCGCGGCCCUGCUCCAGUUUGCUACCUCCCUGCCUGGAUUUGACACCUCCUCCACCUUCUCCAAGGCAGGUGAAUUUGUGCUGCAGCUGGGU